CCUACGGGCGGCUGCAGUGGGGAAUAUUGCACAAUGGGGGAAACCCUGAUGCAGCGACGCCGCGUGAGUGAGGAAGUAUUUCGGUAUGUAAAGCCCUAUUAGUAGGGAAGAAAAUGACGGUAUCUGACCAAGAAGCACCGGCUAACUACGUGCCAGCAGCCGCGGUAAUACGUAGGGGGCAAGCGUUAUCCGGAUUUACUGGGUGUAAAGGGAGCGUAGGCGGCGGUGUAAGCCAGAGGUGAAAGCCCGGGGCUUAACCAGGGGACUGCUUUUGAAACUACAUGGCUCGAUUGCAGGAGAGGCAAGUGGAAUGCCUGGUGUAGCGGUAAAAUGCGUAGAUAUUAAGAGGAACACCAAUGGCGAAGGCGACUUGCUAGACUGUAAAUGACGCUGAGGCUCGAAAGCGUGGGGAGCAAACAGGAUUAGAUACCCUAGUAGUC
rnacentral:rRNA from 1 species